ensembl:lncRNA
UGUUGGGUCUCUGUAAAUAAAGUUAUAAGGAGUACAGUCCAGACCUGCUCUAUUUGAAAAGUGUCCUGAGAAAGGCUGCACCGAAGCAACAAACACUAGAGAGAGAAACUCCCUCCAGACAGCGACAAGAUUACAGAGGGUUUUUUAUUUUACUCUUUAUUGUGUAAAAAAAAAACGAUAAAAAAAACCAUUAAGGAACAGCUUCAAUGCGGGCAUUUUUUCUUGACAUUGGAUUGAUGUUAAUGUACUUGAAGUGUGCACUGUGCAACCGUAUUAUGUAAAAAGAAUAUUAGAUGGGGACUGGGACUCAAUAUUAAAUGACUUGGAUCGUGGGCUAAAAUAUUUGCGUUAUGGUGCUGCUUAAGUCUUACUUUACUCCCCAUCAACCCAGACCUGCAGCUAAAGAUGAUAGUGAAAGUGAAACAGUGUGAUAAUGUUAAAUGGCUCCUGUCAUUGUGAUGAACCCAGAAGAAGCAGAAGAAUCUGUGCUGUGGAAGGCUCUUCAGUUAACAUUUCCAAUGGAUUCACUAAUACCAAGCUGGUGGAGCCACAAAAAUCAGAUCUCUCUUUAAGGUUACUGUAUGACUGCGUGGUGCCUGUGUCUGAGGUGGAGAAACGGUCUCCAGUAUAUUUCCUACAGGAUGGUCUGUUAAUGAGGAGGUGGGUCCCUUAUGAGGAAAGUUUGGCUUGUGGGUUUGUGGAGCAGGUGGUUUUGCCUACCAAGUAUAGACAGUGUGUACUUGUGGACAGUGUGCCCAUGACAGUAUGACUGGUAAUAUGGGAGUGAAAAAAACGUACAAUUAUAUCCUGCGGCAUUUCUUUUGGCCAUGAUUAAAAAUGUCCACGUACAUUAAGACCUGCCACAUUUGCCAAUGCACAGGAAAACCAAAUCAAACUAUUAUACCUGCGCCGCUGCAACCCAUUCCAGCAGUAAGACAGCCAUUUGAACUAUUGAUCCAGUUACAAAACCGGAUUCCUAUCCACUACUUAGGAUGAAAGACUGUAGAUCAAGUUGGGGCAUGAGGAUGUAUAUAACUCCUGUCAAACUUCAUCAUAUGUCUGCUAAUAUUCAAGAUGAUUGUUGAAAAUUUUUAAAUCAGAAAGGUACUCUAUGUCAUUGUCUAUGGGAAUGUCCAAAGAUCCAAACUUUCUGGAAGGAUGUUAUAAAAUGUUUGUCAGAGAUGUUUCAUACCAAACUGUGUGUGUUUGGAAUAUACCCUGUGUAAUGUAUGUAUUUGUAAUGUCAAACUGUUGUAUUGUUAGUAUGUAUUGUUGAUGGGAUGUUCAAAACAAGAAAACGACAAUAAAACAUAUUGUGGGAAAAAACACAAUUGUCUUAUGUUUUGUCUCUGUUUCUGAAAAGACAGACAGCAGGUCCUGUAGAGAGACAGGCUGUAUGUUAUCUGAACAUCCACAGGCACAUUUAUACAGAAUUGACACUGGUUUUUGUGCAAUAAAGUUUAAAGUUCCAGUUCAGUUAAAAUACGGAGACUUAUUGUAAGUAGUUAUGUUUAGCAGUGAAAGCCACUCCCACUAUCCAUCUAUAACAUGUCUGAGCUCAUGAUAGAGGACUACAGAAGGUCCCAUUCAGCCUUCAGUGUGUGAUUAUCUUACCUGCUUCUCCUGUGGAGCCAAAAUGGCUGAUGGCGCUCACCAGACUGUAGCAGCCACCGUCCUGACAAUGAACACAGAAUAAGAGUUAGCUUCACACACACACACACGUUUACUUUCUCAUCAGCCUGGUGCUUCUGUCUGUUCUCAG